rnacentral:rRNA from 1 species
CUUGUGGCUGGGGGUGAAAGGCCAAUCAAACCGGGAGAUAGCUGGUUCUCCCCGAAAGCUAUUUAGGUAGCGCCUCGUGAACUCAUCUUCGGGGGUAGAGCACUGUUUCGGCUAGGGGGUCAUCCCGACUUACCAACCCGAUGCAAACUGCGAAUACCGAAGAAUGUUAUCACGGGAGACACACGGCGGGUGCUAACGUCCGUCGUGAAGAGGGAAACAACCCAGACCGCCAGCUAAGGUCCCAAAGUCACAGUUAAGUGGGAAACGAUGUGGGAAGGCUCAGACAGCCAGGAUGUUGGCUUAGAAGCAGCCAUCAUUUAAAGAAAGCGUAAUAGCUCACUGGUCGAGUCGGCCUGCGCGGAAGAUGUAACGGGGCUAAACUGUGCACCGAAGCUGCGGCAGCGACGCUUAUGCGUUGUUGGGUAGGGGAGCGUUCUGUAAGCCUGCGAAGGUGUCCUGUGAGGGAUGCUGGAGGUAUCAGAAGUGCGAAUGCUGACAUAAGUAACGAUAAUGCGGGUGAAAAGCCCGCUCGCCGGAAGACCAAGGGUUCCUGUCCAACGUUAAUCGGGGCAGGGUGAGUCGACCCCUAAGGCGAGGCCGAAAGGCGUAGUCGAUGGGAAACGGGUUAAUAUUCCCGUACUUGGUGUUACUGCGAAGGGGGGACGGAGAAGGCUAUGUUGGCCGGGCGACGGUUGUCCCGGUUUAAGCGUGUAGGCUGGUUUUCCAGGCAAAUCCGGAAAAUCAAGGCU